UUGUCGAUGUAUACCGAACUGAUUGCAGUCACGCUCAAGCCCGACUUUUACACAAAUUAAAUGACCACCACGUGCUUCCUGAAUAUAUAAACAAAAUGAAGGCAUUCAAACAACAUUACUUUUAUUAGAUAAGACUGUGGCAGCUGCUCUAUCAUAUACUUCUCAGUUUUCUCAUUACUCAGACGACCGUGAAGUUGGUAAGACCAUAAAGAAUACAGCUGAAACUGUAUCGUUUUUCGACGACGUCUUUGAUUCUACCAACGGAGCCACACUCAAUCAUAUAAAAUGAAAAGGAAAAAAUCUCAGGAAAGCAGUUACACAAAAUUCGCUACACCACGCCUUUUGGAACGAAGCCAUAAAACAAUUAGAAAAUAUGAAAUUUUGUUGGCCAACAGAGUGAGUAGGUUACCCGUGCGAGUGUACCUUUAUUAAAAAAACUGGGUUACAACACUCAACAGUUUUAAAAGAUUGGGGCAAUUUUUUAAGGAGAAAAAUAUAAAAAUAAUGCGCACGAGACAUUUUAAUUCAGACCCAAUAGAAAACUUUUUCGGUCAAGUGCGCGCCUAUAAUUUUGGAAAUAACGAUUCGGAUUGCCACACUUUAUAAACACAUUUCGAUCUCUAUUGAUUACUCGUUCAUAAAGUUUCAUUCGGAAACCUAUAAUUGCGAAGUUGAUUCGGGUAAUCAAUUGAUCAAUGUACAAAAUCUAUUUAAAGAAACGGAGGUCGAAAAUGUUACUGAGGAUGUUUGUACUGGAACUACUAAUGUAUGAAAUGUUGAAUUUGAAAAUAUUUACGUGCAAGCGUGUCGUGAAAAUUUACACGUACACUCACGUGCAUACACUGCG